rnacentral:rRNA from 1 species
UACGUAGGGUGCAAGCGUUAAUCGGAAUUACUGGGCGUAAAGCGUGCGCAGGCGGCUGUGCAAGACAGAUGUGAAAUCCCCGGGCUCAACCUGGGAACUGCAUUUGUGACUGCACAGCUAGAGUACGGCAGAGGGGGAUGGAAUUCCGCGUGUAGCAGUGAAAUGCGUAGAUAUGCGGAGGAACACCGAUGGCGAAGGCAAUCCCCUGGGCCUGUACUGACGCUCAUGCACGAAAGCGUGGGGAGCAAACGGG